CAUCGGCAGUUCCUGCUAUCUCUGUUCAAACAUAGGCUGGCCAAUCAGUACUGAACAUGCAGCUUGACGCGCCUGUAUUGACUUGAGGGGUUCUUUCCCCCGGCAGGAUUUCCUGCUUUGUCGCUGACAUGUUAGUUUCGAGGCGACCGGACGAAGCUGCUCCGCUUGUCUGAUCGUCUCUGGCCUGAAGCGGUAAACUUUCCGCUCGCCGAUAACAGCACCAACGGGUUCCGGGCGAAAAGUUAACCAGCGGCUUCGCAGCUGUACUCAGUGUAGCAGAGCUUUCCCCUACUCGGAAAGGCCUUCGGGAACACUCGGCUGUUUGGCAGCAAGGGACAGAUUUUGAGGAUCAGAAGCUGGAGGAGACGUCAGAGGAAAGGGAGUCGGACAAAACAAAACACCCGUCCACAACCAAAGCAGUACAAAUAAAUAAAAGGACGAAACUCAAGGUAUGCUUGUGGAUACAGUCAUUCAGUACUGAGCGGUGAACGUCGGCGAGACGUAAACCGAGCGCCACUCAUGUUUUCAUCAAGUCAAGAAGAUCACAGUGCGCCCACCAAGGAUCCCGUGAAGUAUGGAGAACUCAUCGUCCUGGGAUACAAUGGUUCUCUUCCAAAUGGAGACAGAGGGCGCAGGAAAAGCAGAUUUGCUCUUUACAAACGAUCCAAACCUAAUGGAGUCAAGCCCAGCACAGUGCAUGUUAUUUCCACUCCCCAGGCUUCCAAGG